AGACUCUUCCCACCGGGUUCCCGCACCCUCGCCCUGGCGCUGCAGUGCUGUCUCAGUUCAGAAGGGGGCGCCCAACGCCCGUCUUGAGGGUACCAGCCCUUCCUCCAAGCUACCCUGGGGAUACCUCCGUGGUUCGAAGCCCCGCGACAGGGACGUGGAAAGAGUGGUAUAUGUGACCAGACUCUGUCAAGGAAGGUUUCCAGAGGAUUGGACAUCCAAGCUGGAUCUUGAAGGGUAAAUAGGAGUUCUCCAAGCAAGGAAGAAAUUGCCCAAUGUUGUGAUUAUUUAUCAUCAUCAUCAACAUCAUAAUAUUGCUAACAUGCUUGUGCCAGGUGAAGAAACUGGCUCAGAGAAGUAAAGUAACUUGCCCAAAGUUUCACAGAUCAUAAGACAAAGAGGUAGGAUUUGAACCCAUGUAGUCAGAUGCCAGAGGCAGCACCCUAAUCACGAUAUUCCAUUGCCUUUGCUGGGUGUCUGUCUGAAUUAGGCAUUUUUAACUUGGUGGCCAAAGGCCAUGGUUCAUGUGUACUUUUCUGGGACAGGGACCUUGGUUUCCAUCAUGAUUUCCCAAGCAGGACUACUUGUGUGGCUUGAAAAGUGCUGGCUCGCAAAAAUCUCACAGAACCGCUACCGUGUGAUUGCAUGGACCUCAGUUCUGUCUGUGAACAUGAGCUUGAAGAUCCUAUUCCCACAGGCCCUCCCCCUCCUUACCCCUUCUUCCCAAGCCUCUGCUCAAGGGCAGUACCCCUGGCUUGGAAGAAGAUCAUAUUGCCUGGCCCCAGGGAGACAGCAGGUCAGAGGGAGGUGAUAGUGGAG